AGAGUAGAGUAUGCUCUCUGAAAGGAGGAGUUUAGACUGAAUCCUUUAGAACGGAUAAUUUAAUGAGUCGUUUUUGACGCUGGGGAAAAAAGGGUUAUAAUCCUGAGGUCUGGCUAAACUUCAACCAUCAACUGGGGGAAACAUCCAAACAGGAGAAUGGAGAACAUUUCUUCUUACGACUGUAAAUAUAUAUUUCUCUUCUUCUUUGUCUUCAGUGUGCACACUGUUUACAGACUUUAUUUAUAGAAACAGAAAGGGAAUGAAGAACCAAAACCAGCACUAAUCGUGAUAAAAGAAAUAAGGGUACAAAAUAAAACUUAAAGAGUCAUUUAAAUGCUUUAUGAAUAUCAUAAAAGAUCAAUAAAUAAAGAUCCAACCAAGCCAGAUAUACACGCCUUUUUAUUAUAAUAUGUCUGGGGUUGGAAGCUGUGUUUUAUUUCAUCACAUUCUUGAGGAGGUUUGGCAAUUUAGAUUAGUUCUCUGGUGGAACGUUAAGGUUAUAGGUUAGGAACUAAGUUUCAGGGUUUGGGUUUAAGGUUAGGGUACAAUGUUCAGGACCAAGGGUUAGUAUAAAAGGGAGGGUGAAAAUUAUGAAUUUGCGUUAAGUGUACUUCACUGUCUGAACUGUGGAUUCAUGGUUGGGUCAGCAGAUCAGCGGAUGGUUAAAAAAAGGACAAAACAUUCCACUCAUAUGUUUUAUCUCACACAAAAAUAGGGGGAGUUUUACAUGCUCCUAGGCUAGUCCCAAAGGUCCUGCAAACCAUGAAUGCAAAGUCAGUACAAGGGUAGCUUUUAAGAAAUAAAUAAAUAAAAGAAUCCAUAAAUAUUAAGAGUAAUAAAAUGACCAGUUAGAUAAAUAAAUAAAUCCAUAAAAAUUAGGGAUUAGAUUGCCAUUAAAAAUAUUUUAUUUUGUCUCUUUCCCUCCAAACCCCUCUUUAAUAAUAAAAUAUUUUUUUUAAUUAGAAGAAACCACUAAACAAACGAGCAAUGCCCAACCCCUGUCAAAUAUGUUUGUUGUAGCCGAUGUUCCAUUUAUAGUCCAAUAUUUUAGAGCUAGGCUGUUGUUAAUAAACCAAGAUUGUUUUUUUUUAAAAUUAAUUUUAGCACAUACAGUGCAUCCAGAAAGUAUUCACAAUGCUUCAAUUUUUCCACAUUUUGUUGUUACAGUCUUAUUCCAAAAUGGAUUAAAUUCAUUAUUUUCCUCAAAAUUCUACAAACAAUACCCCAUAAU
ensembl:lncRNA